rnacentral:lncRNA from 1 species
AUAUCAAACGCUCAGAGCCCCAGUACGUGCUGUUAGAAAUUCAAAAUGCAGUUAUCCUUUGUCAUUUUCGGGCUUGCAUUGCUUGUCACAGUGCUGGUAAAAUCAGGAGAUGCGAGGGCUACGCUGUCAAGAGAUGAGUUGCUAGAUGAACUGACUGAAGAGUUGUUGGUUAGAUAUUUGGAUCGUAGGAACCUAGAAAGAACCGUGCAGAGCACUGACACACGAGGCAGAUACGACAACGGACCCGUGCGUCGUUGGUGGGGUGGUUCACAUUCAAGCACAAGUAACACCCAAAAUGCACAAAAUACUGGUAAUAUAAACGGUAAUCAGAUAAAUGGUGGACUCUCAGCUGGAAGUAUUAUUAACUCUAGCCAAGGAAGGAAAUAGGUCUUAGAAUAACGGAUUUCCAGAUAAAAAUAUUCGCAUGAAAAAGGACCAACAAUGUUUAUAAUCUCUUUAUACAUCAAAUUCUCAAAAGGACGAAACAAAUGUAUGGAUGUUAUUUCAGUUUUACAUGGUGUAUCAUUAAACAAACGUACUUGAAAACAGUGAUACAAAACAUACACGCAAUUUGGAUAUGAUUUUUGCAUAAUAAUGAACUAUUUUCACAAUAAAUGCAAAUAAUUGUGUUUCGCUGUUAUCUAGUUUCUGCUUUUACUAAUCUUAAAGUAGUUCGUAUGUUAUAUUAGAUAAUUAUAAAGAGGCUGCGAUAACAUACGUAAACAAAUAGUAAAUCUAUGUACAUAACAAUAAUCGUAUCUUAUAAUUGUCCAAUAACUUUACUCUUAUAAUUGUGCAAUAACUUUAAUCGAAUCGCCCGCUUCGGGUAGAUUUGACGAGUAAGGCAAGUUUGCGCUUGCAAUAUUCGGAAUCUUGUCACCUUAGAUGUACUAGAUUUUAUACACGUAUUCGCACACGUGGCCAUAUGAAAUCGCACUAUCUGUAAUACAUGCAUGUUCUUUUUGUCUGUGUGCUUUGAUUUUAUUUUUCAUUCUCUAAUUUGUUUCUUUUUUUAACUUUUGUAACAAAAUCUGUAAAAAGAUCAUUUGGAUGCAAAGAAUGCAACCAAGAAGAAUAAUAGUAAGACUCGUUCAGAAAUUUGGUAAAAACAAAUCAUUUGAAAUGUGCCCGUUUGCAUACAUGAUCUCUUUUGGUAAAAUAUCCACACACAGCUAGUUUAAAAAACAACAAAGUACUUAACUUUUGAAAUGACAAACAUUUAUAAAAGUAUAAUAAUUGUCAACAUAAUUAUUCUUUUUCCAACUUAAGGAUGUCAAAUUUUGCGUAAAUGAAGACACGUCUGAUUUUUACCAAAGUUGUGAACAAGCUUAUUCUAUUGAAAGUUUGCACUCGCUAAUUCUUUGCAACUUACUUAAUUGCAAUAAAACAUAAUGUUCUGCAAA